rnacentral:rRNA from 1 species
UACGAAGGGGGGCUAGCGUUGCUCGGAAUCACUGGGCGUAAAGCGCACGUAGGCGGAUUGUUAAGUCAGGGGUGAAAUCCUGGAGCUCAACUCCAGAACUGCCUUUGAUACUGGCGAUCUCGAGUCCGGGAGAGGUGAGUGGAACUGCGAGUGUAGAGGUGAAAUUCGUAGAUAUUCGCAAGAACACCAGUGGCGAAGGCGGCUCACUGGCCCGGUACUGACGCUGAGGUGCGAAAGCGUGGGGAGCAAAGCAGGAU